rnacentral:rRNA from 1 species
AGUGGCGGACGGGUGAGUAACACGUGGGAACGUGCCUUUAGGUUCGGAAUAGCUCCUGGAAACGGGUGGUAAUGCCGAAUGUGCCCUUCGGGGGAAAGAUUUAUCGCCUUUAGAGCGGCCCGCGUCUGAUUAGCUAGUUGGUGAGGUAAUGGCUCACCAAGGCGACGAUCAGUAGCUGGUCUGAGAGGAUGACCAGCCACAUUGGGACUGAGACACGGCCCAAACUCCUACGGGAGGCAGCAGUGGGGAAUCUUGCGCAAUGGGCGAAAGCCUGACGCAGCCAUGCCGCGUGAAUGAUGAAGGUCUUAGGAUUGUAAAAUUCUUUCACCGGGGACGAUAAUGACGGUACCCGGAGAAGAAGCCCCGGCUAACUUCGUGCCAGCAGCCGCGGUAAUACGAAGGGGGCUAGCGUUGCUCGGAAUUACUGGGCGUAAAGGGCGCGUAGGCGGACAUUUAAGUCAGGGGUGAAAUCCCAGAGCUCAACUCUGGAACUGCCUUUGAUACUGGGUGUCUUGAGUGUGAGAGAGGUAUGUGGAACUCCGAGUGUAGAGGUGAAAUUCGUAGAUAUUCGGAAGAACACCAGUGGCGAAGGCGACAUACUGGCUCAUUACUGACGCUGAGGCGCGAAAGCGUGGGGAGCAAACAGGAUUAGAUACCCUGGUAGUCCACGCCG